CUUUUUGUUUUGGUUAGCGGGGCACCGGCGCGCACCAAACCUCCGCCACAAAAGGUAAACUCUCACUUCGGAGCAGCCGGGCGACCCGUCUCCACUCCACCCGGCUAUCCACGGGCGGGUGCGUGCUUGAUUUCUGAAGCCCGCCUUGGUUUGCAAAGAGCAGCCACCUCUCGCUGCAAGAGUGAAACACACUGUUAACUAAUGCUCUGUGCUGACGGACGACCCCAUGCAUUUCAUCAGGUGAAGAAUAAUUGACGGCUAACCAGUCAGCCAGUAGCAAUAAGAGUAUGAAGGAAGGAUUGUACUUCACAGCAGCUUGUGCUUUCUUCCCAACUCCUCACCCAGAAAAGCAUUUUUGCCCCUGAUCACCAUCCAUUGAAUCCCCUUGUAAAGUGCAUGCCUGAGAAAGUUGGACAAUGUUAAGAUUGGAUGCAGCUGUUAAGCUCCCAGGUUUAAUAGUCUGUUCACGGUCACUGCCUCACAAGGGGUAGCUACUGCUCAUUUGUUGUUGGGACAAAAUCCUGGAACUCCCUAUAAAACAGCACUAUGGGAGCACCUUCACCACCACAUGGACUCCAAUGGUUCAAGCAGGCAACUCACCACCUUUUUCUCAAGAGCAUCUAGGGAGAAGAGAUCAAUGAUGAUGAAGCUCAGCUCCGGAGAAUAAAUUUUUAUAUAAAGUCCUUAUGCAACCGUGACUUAACACGUGUCAGCUCCUUGGGUGGGGGGAGGGGGAGAAAGGCAAUCGAUGAACAAGAUAAUUAAUUAAGAAUAAAUUGUCGUAGUCUUUUCCAUGUAUGAACUUCAUGUAAAAAGCUUUAUGUGAAAAUCAACCUUCAGAGACUUCAAAACACUUCAUUAUUCAAAAUUGAAUUGUGAAGGCUUUAGUUUUCUAGUGCCAUAUGUAAAAUUUAAAUUGGCUUCUUUACUAGUAAACAUGAUUUUCCAGUUGAAAGCCAGAAAUAACUUCUUGCAUAGUAUCUUUGGUAAAUGUAUUUUGAUAACCACAGAAAUGAAAUAUUUUAAUUCCAUGUAAGUGAUUGGGUUUUAAGUGAAUAAAAUGUCAGGCUGUA